GCUCUCAAAGUGAGUCUGGAUGUGCUCGGUGGUGUCCCCCCCACCAAGCUGCCAGUGCAGAAGUCCGCUGUUGAACUCCUGAACACGACCCAGCUUGUCAGAUCGGAGAAGCACACGUAUGCACCCAGUCACG